CCCUAUGGGGUGCAUUGAGCGAAAACAGUGGAUCACAAAAGUAGCAGGUAUAUUAAUGGUCGGAUUGAUGUUUGCUGCUUUCUCAGCAUCAUCUUUCGCGGCAGGCGGUGUGUCAAGCGAGGCUGGUCCGGAAGGUAUCGCCCAGACCGCCUAUUCUCCGGACAAAGGACCAGGUCCGGUGGUUAUUGUCCUUUCGGGGCAGACGGGUCCUGCUCCCUACCAAUUCUAUGCCGCAGAACUGGCCCGGCUCGGUUAUUAUGCGGUCUUGGUUAAUGGGAAUGACAUCCUUAACCCUCAGCAUACAGGUCCUGCAAAUCUGGCUAAAACAAUCGAGCGGGCACUGAAGUCCCCAAGCGCCGUGAAGGGUAAGGUUGCGAUAAUCGGCUUUUCACUUGGCGGCGGGGGAGC
rnacentral:rRNA from 1 species